rnacentral:rRNA from 1 species
GACGAACGCUGGCGGCGUGCUUAACACAUGCAAGUCGAACGGAAAGGCCCUGCUUUUGUGGGGUGCUCGAGUGGCGAACGGGUGAGUAACACGUGAGUAACCUGCCCUUGACUUUGGGAUAACUUCAGGAAACUGGGGCUGAUACCGGAUAGGAGCUCCUGCUGCAUGGUGGGGGUUGGAAAGUUUCGGCGGUUGGGGAUGGACUCGCGGCUUAUCAGCUUGUUGGUGGGGUAGUGGCUUACCAAGGCUUUGACGGGUAGCCGGCCUGAGAGGGUGACCGGCCACAUUGGGACUGAGACACGGCCCAGACUCCUACGGGAGGCAGCAGUGGGGAAUAUUGCACAAUGGGCGGAAGCCUGAUGCAGCAACGCCGCGUGCGGGAUGACGGCCUUCGGGUUGUAAACCGCUUUCGCCUGUGACGAAGCGUGAGUGACGGUAAUGGGUAAAGAAGCACCGGCUAACUACGUG